rnacentral:rRNA from 1 species
CACGUAGUUGGCCGGUGCUUCUUCUGUAGGUACCGUCAAAUUCGUCCCUACUGAAAGCGGUUUACAACCCGAGAGCCUUCAUCCCGCACGCGGCGUUGCUGCGUCAGGCUUUCGCCCAUUGCGCAAUAUUCCUAACUGCUGCCUCCCGUAGGAGUCUGGGCCGUGUCUCAGUCCCAGUGUGGCUGAUCGUCCUCUCAGACCAGCUACCCGUCGAUGCCUUGGUGAGCCGUUACCUCACCAACAAGCUGAUAGGACGCGAAGCCCUCCCAAAGCGAAAAAACUUUCUCAUCUGACCAUGCGAUCUGAUGGAGGUAUCGAGUAUUAGACCUAGGUUUCCCCGGCUUAUCCUCGUCUUCGGGACUAGGUUCUUCACGUGUUACUCACCCGUUCGCCACUAGGUCUUCAGGAGCAAGCUCCUUGGACCUCGUUCGACUUGCAUGUUUUAACGCACGUCCGCCAGCGUUCGUCCUGUACGCCGACGGAUACGUAAACCUCUACUGACGUAC